CACAGUUCCUUCCACGCAGCUUCUCUGUGGGUCCAUUCAGCUGGCGCGCUGCUUCCUAUCUUUGUAAGGGAAGAGCUAAGUGCAGACAAAGCCCUGACGAAUAGAGGCCUGCGCAGAGUGCCCGGGGUGCAGGGCAGCAGGGCAGCCAGUGAACCACUGAGCUCGCACUGUAGCCAGUCCUGUGUGCCCCUGCUGGAUUCUGCUUCUAUGAGGGAGGCAGCAAGGAGUUGGGACUUCACAGGUGAAAGGACUUGCCAGGGUCUUACUUUGUCGCCCAGGCUGGAGUACAGUGGCAUGAUCGUAGCUCAUUGCAGCCUCCACCUCCCUGGGCUCAGGAGAUCCAUCUCAGCCUCCUGAGUAGCUGGGACCACAGGUUUUGUUCAGGUUUAGCACAAGCUGUGAUGAAUAUCUUCAAGCCUCUGCUUCCUGCUGUGGAAUUGUUGCCAAAGGACACAUUCCCAGAUGGGAUUACUGAGUCAGAGGAAGUGGACAUUGAGUGGCUCUCAACAGACAGGCUGUGUUGCUCUCACAGUGCCCAGGUACCACCAGCAAUGUAUACACAUACAGGAAGCGCCGGCUUCCCUGUUGUCUUGUUGCUGUGGCGUGUUGGGGUCUCUAAGACCACCCUGGGUUUGUUGAUUGGCUAGGAGAACUCGCAGAACUCAGCAUACAGUGAUACUCGAGGCUAUGAUGUAUUACGACAACUGGAAAUGAAGCAAAUUCAGCAAAGGAAAAAGGCACAUGGGUCAAGUCCAGAGGAAAUGGAGUGUGAGGGUCCAAGACCCUCUCACAUGCUGGACGCGCCCACUUCCCCCAGAAGUGUGUUGGGACAACACGUGUGGAAUGUCAUUUGUCAGGGACACUCACUAGAGAUUUGGCACCGAGGGUUUUACUGCAGGCUAGUCACAAAGGCCCCCUCUGCCUAGCAUGUACCAAAAUUCUGGACUCCCAGUACGAAGACAUAAACCACAGUGUUUACACAGUUUAGGGGCAGUGAGCCAUUCAUAUCAGGGAAGGGCGGGAACCCUCCCCAAAUCCAAUUUCCCAGAUACGAACCAAGGGCCAACCUUGCAAGCAGUCCUUGCUAAAGAUAACAUUGCUAUAAUUUGUAUUUCUUUCAUUUUUCUUUUGAGAGUAAAUCAUUUCGAUAUAAAAUAAUGAGAUGGGACCUGGCCAUCCGAAGGUUCAUUCACUCUCAAGGCUGGAGGUUGAUGCCAGCUGUCGGCUGUGACCUCAGGUGGGUCUGGCGGCCAGCUGCGGCCCCUCCAUGUGGCUUGGGCUUCUCUCCAGUGUGAAGUGGCUGUGUUUCAAGGAUGAGGAACUGACAAAGAGGGAACCAGGUGGAAGCAGUGUCACCUUUUCUAUCCUAACCACAGAAGCCACCCUGUGCCACUUCUACCACAUUGUUUAUUAGAAACAAGUAUGAAUACUGGCCCAUAUUCAAAGGGAGGAGAAUUAAACUCCACUUUUGAUGGGAGGAGGAUCAAAUAAUUUAUAGAGGUUAUUUAAAACCAUCACAAACAUAUUAGAUUUGCCAUGUUUAGGCAUUUAUUCUGCAAAAAAACAUACAAAUGUGCAAAGUUACUUGAGGCUAUUUUCUGCAGUGUUAUUUGUGUUAGUUAAAAAAAAAAAGGAAACAAUCUAAAUGUCCAUCAAGGGUCAGGUGCAGUGGCUCACGCCUGUGAUCCCAGCACUUUGGGAGGCCGAGGCGGGUGGAUUAUCUGAGGUCAGGAGUUCGAGACCAACCUGGCCAACAUGGUGAAACCCCAUCUCUAUUAAAAGUACAAAAAAUUAGCCGGGCAUGGUGGUGCAUGCCUGUAGUCCCAGCUACUCGGGAGGCUGAGGCAGGAGAAUUGCUUGAACUCUGGAGGUGGA
ensembl:lncRNA novel transcript